rnacentral:rRNA from 1 species
GGAAUUUUGGACAAUGGGCGAAAGCCUGAUCCAGCAAUGCCGCGUGCAGGAUGAAGGCCUUCGGGUUGUAAACUGCUUUUGUACGGAACGAAACGGUCCUUUCUAAUACAGAGGGCUAAUGACGGUACCGUAAGAAUAAGCACCGGCUAACUACGUGCCAGCAGCCGCGGUAAUACGUAGGGUGCAAGCGUUAAUCGGAAUUACUGGGCGUAAAGCGUGCGCAGGCGGUUAUGUAAGACAGUUGUGAAAUCCCCGGGCUCAACCUGGGAAUUGCAUCUGUGACUGCAUAGCUAGAGUACGGUAGAGGGGGAUGGAAUUCCGCGUGUAGCAGUGAAAUGCGUAGAUAUGCGGAGGAACACCGAUGGCGAAGGCAAUCCCCUGGACCUGUACUGACGCUCAUGCACGAAAGCGUGGGGAGCAAACA